rfam:Sporisorium reilianum SRZ2 chromosome 6 complete DNA sequence
UCCGAAUUAGUUUAGUGGCUAUGACGGCGCCUUGUCAUGCAGUUGACGUUGUUCUUCGCGUAGAAACGGCGCAUACCCGGGUUCAAUUCCCGGAUUCGGAG